rnacentral:rRNA from 1 species
AUAUAUGAGGCGGGGCAGCGGGGUGCCGGUGGGCGAGGGACGGCGGCGGGCCAGCGGGGCGCGGGACGGCGGAGGACCGGUAGGGCGCGGAGAGGUGGCGGGCUGGUGGGGCGGGGGGCGGCCGCUGGUCGGUGGGAUGCGGGGCGGCGGAGGGCCGGUGGGGGCGCGGAGCGGCGGCGGGCCGGUGGGGCGCGGAGCGACGACGGCGGGUAGGAUGCCACCAGCGAUAAGGGUAGGGAUAGAGGCGCGUUGCGGUGGGGGUUAGCCUGGGCUGGUUUAGUGCAGCGGUACCGCGCCACAGAGGUAGAGGGCUGCUGCCUCGUCGUGGAGGGGCUGCCGCACGGAUGGUGGCGGCUGCUCCUUGAGACGGGGUUCGGAGGAGGGGGGAGGAGUGCAGGCCUACCCGUUCUAGGUCGGCCGCUACUUCGGAUAGGGUGGCCGCGUCGAGGGGUAGCGGUAACGCGACGAGGAAGGGGCGCACAGAGGUCAAGGGGAGCGACGAGUCUAACCACACGGCGCCACGGCGGUGGGUCCACAAACGUCAUUACGAACUCGUGUCGUGGUUGUCAGCGGCGCCAGUGAAGUAGGGACUUGACGGUGCGCGGCGGACGCCGGAACGAAGAAGGGGACAGAAGACGGGCCCGCUUGGGGGAAAAGAGGAGGGUCCGUGUCGACGUUGGAGGAAGAGUCAGGUUUAACUCGCGACCAACAGCAUGUUCAACCUAGGACCGAUGUCAGAAGCGGUAUCUUCGGUAGUAGGGACAAGACUUGAUGGUUGUCGGAGACGAUUACACGUGUUUUAAGUUCAAGUUAUUUUGUUUUUUACCUUCCAGUCUAUACAGGCAAGUUGGUGGCGGUUGGCUCCAGCAAGUUGCUGCGCGGCCCGUUUCUUAUAGUUCAUUUAUUCGUUGAAGCUGUACGGUUACCCUGGAAAAAUAAUUCCCGAAACUGAUGCUGACUACCUUCAACCAUAAGACACUGCAACGCGAGUCGCCGUCCUCCCGCUCCUAGAGAAGAAGAGCCGUCAUGUUGACGUGGGAGGCCGCGGCAAGUGCUCUUCUCGAUGCACGUCCGGUGGACACGAGGUGGGACCUAAAAAAGUUAUUAGUCCAGCAGCAGCAGUCCCAAGGACGGGGUGCCGUCAGUAUGACCGAGUACGCGGUGACAGCAGCCAGGAAAAAGCCAACCUCUAUCCAUCGCGGGGGUCCCUCGGGGAAGAAGUCACCAAGUAACCAGACAGUUCAUACUUCCACUCGAAGUAUUAUCUCAUCGAUCUGGAUAGGCGGAAGGUAAAAUGUUUAAAACGACCCUCGAUCUUCAUUGAUAUACAUCUUUCAACCGUAGAGACAAAUGUAUUUGUACGUAUUGUGCACACUACGAUGUAUUAAGGACCCAGGAGGAGGACAAUACGUGUUCGAGGUUAAGCAACUCUAUGAGAUACCUCCAUGAGGUAAAAUACAAAAGUUAAGUAGAAUGUUUUAUCGUCUUGUUUGAUACACAGUAAAAACAGUAAGUGCGUUCAAGUCCGUAUGGAAGACGUUUUCAAGUUUUUAGACUUCUUUGUUUCGAGUUUGGUUCAAGUCUUUGACAAAGACCUAAUUUAAUCAGCAAAACCAAUUAAGACAUCAUGUACACACAUAACACUAACAUUAACACCGAACCUCAACUCUUUUUCUAUUGUUUUUCCAUGUAUUUACUUGGGUUUUUGUAAGCCAUCAAAGACUUUCGGGUUUCAAGUCAAGUUGUACAAAAGAUAGUAGUCGAGCAAUUCUUGGGGUCUUUGCCAAGUUACACAUACUAUAUAUGAAAAAAGAAUAUCCUCCAAGUUUCUAACAGCACCUAGUUCAAUUUCUCAAAUCAUGUGGACGCAGUCAGCCGGUGGCAUCCUACAUCGAUGAUGAGAGAGUUCAGUAUCCGACGCCAACGAUGAAGAAACAUGAGCAUUAAACAAUAAAGAAACGUUGGUCUACACUGUCUGCCUACGUUCUCCGUUUCACAGGAUAAACAAUCUACAAGUCAUGUCUAAAAAGAGAUUCUUUUUUUGUUGCCCUCCGUUGUCAAAACUUACACGAUCAACAUUCAUUGAAUCAACAAUCUACCAGUAAAGUCUAAAAACAUCUACGUUGUUGAUCAAACAAACGAACACGAUCAACUUGACCAGAACCAAGUCUAUAAAGAGACUCUUUUUACUCGCGUUACUACCCGGUGAUCGAAUUAAAGAUCCGCGUGUGCUGUAGAAACCAGCGCACCAGCCGUGGUAAUAGAAUUUAUAAACAAAGACGUGAUUCAAAGAAUUACAUAAAACAAGCGUUUUAAAAUCACUUUUAAAAUGGAGUGCAAUGAGCACUAGAGCGUUGACAUACAAGUGGGCACUUCCAUAGAGAGUAACGAAUAACAAUGUAAUUAAAGGCACUAUUCUUUCCAAAUGUAAUUUUCAUUGUAGUAUAUCCUUUUUACGAAGAUAAGAUUGUGUAAAAAAAAAACCUUUUUUCUCGUGAUCAUGACUCCUCAGCAUAACUGUUCCUACGACAAAUGUUAAGACUACUCAGCAUGACUGUUCCUG